AGGGUGAGUGAAUGACUCCAAUACAUAAAUCAAUAUCCCAGCGACUUUGCUUGAUCUAGGAUACUGAUCAUUCUCUAUGAAGACUGAAAAUGUUACCCAGAGGUGAGAAGUAUAAAGAGAAUCAGGCACUAGGUAGCAGGAGGAGGAACAAGAAAGAAAAGAGUUACAGUCAUUACUUUAUGUAGCUCUUGCUAAUGUCUGUCUGAACUACAGAGAGCUGAACGGGAUUACACAGAGGUCUGGUCCUGCAACCUGCAUUUUAAACACUCCUCCCAGGUAUUUCUUACACACCUUAAAGCAGGACUUCCCAACAGAAAUGCAAGCCUGUGUAACCAUCAGUUUGCUUUCAGUCUCUCUGGAGAGCAGCACUAAUCAUAAUACCUGAAAGAUGGACAUAACCAAAGCGGCCAUCAAUGGGUGAAUGGAACAACUGGUGGUAUAUCCAUCCAAUGGAAUAUUACUCAGCCACAGCAAGGAAUGAAGUACUGAUACAUGCUACAACAUGGAGGAGCCUUGAAAAAACAUUACACUAAGUGAAAGAAGCCAGACAAAGAGCACACAUUUUAGGCUUUUAUUUGUAUGAAAUAUCCAGAAUUGGUUAAAAAAUGUUCUUUAAGUUAAUGUAUUAUAUGGGAAGACAUUAUAUGCUGGAUUUUGAAUCCUUAUCAGAGAUGGUGCUGUAAUCACGUGGAGCAUUUUCUGAUAAGUACUAAAGUGGAAGAGGUGGUAAAGUAGAAAAAUCAAAGGGCGAUUGAUGAUGGAAGAAGCAAGUGUUUACAGAAAUUCCUCUGCUUGGUUUUCAACAUCUACCUGUUAUCCUUAAAAACAAGGCUGUCAGUUAUUUUACCAGCAAAAAAAAAAACGGGCUUAUUCGGAAAUAUAAGAGAAUUGCAAUUCAGAACCAGCAAGCGACAUCAAAGCCCUAGACAAGU